rnacentral:rRNA from 1 species
GRUUGAACGCUGGCGGCAGGCCUAACACAUGCAAGUCGGGCGGUAACAGGGAGAAGCUUGCUUCUCYGCUGACGAGCGGCGGACGGGUGAGUAAUGUAUGGGGAUCUGCCUGAUGGVGGGGGAUAACUACUGGAAACGGUAGCUAAUACCGCAUAAUGUCUWCGGACCAAAGCGGGGGACCUUCGGGCCUCGCGCCAUCAGAUGAACCCAUAUGGGAUUAGCUUGUAGGUGAGGUAACGGCUCACCUAGGCGACGAUCCCUAGCUGGUCUGAGAGGAUGAUCAGCCACACUGGGACUGAGACACGGCCCAGACUCCUACGGGAGGCAGCAGUGGGGAAUAUUGCACAAUGGGCGCAAGCCUGAUGCAGCCAUGCCGCGUGUAUGAAGAAGGCCUUCGGGUUGUAAAGUACUUUCAGUCGGGAGGAAGGUGGUAAGGUUAAUAACCUUAUCAAUUGACKUUACCRACAGAAGAAGCACCGGCUAACUCC